rnacentral:miRNA from 1 species
CUCUCGUAUCUCUGUUUCCAUCUC